rnacentral:lncRNA from 1 species
GGGGGAGGGUUCCGGGUGAGCCGCGUUGCAGCUUUGCUCUCACUGCGGGGAGCAUAGCAGGCUGCUUGUGGAUUUCCUUCUUCAUGUAUUACAAAUCUGUCCCCGGUCCCUUGGGCCUGGGCACUGAGUUGUCACCGGGGCUACGCACAGACACAGAUACAAGAUAAAGGAUAGGUCCGUCCCGCCAAGAUCAGGGCAGGCGCCCAAGAGGCCUGGAAGCCGGCCUCAGCCCUCCACCGGACUCGCGCUGGGCCCUCGCUCGGGAUAAUCCUGACCAGAGGGUGAAGUUCUGAGAGGAUUGGCAGCAAAUUCCUGAAACUGAGAUGGUCCCCCCACGGGGUGCAGGGACCUCACACAGCUGGAAAGACAAGUCCCUCUGGGUGAACGUCGGGCCUGGUGGCCGGGGUGUCUGGGGAGCCUCGCCAGCAUCUGCUCUAAGGGCCGUGCCCCUCAGAGGCUUGUGCUGGGGCACAAAGGUGAGCGCUCAGGGCUGCUUUGGGGUCAGGCUCUCCCGGGAAGGCCCGACGCCCUCUGCCUUGAGAAGUGCUGACGAGGCCUGCGGGGCUGAUCCUUUUUAACUUUGAGGAACUCAGCAUUUCUCAUUUUCUGGUAAGAAGUGCUGAUAAGGCCUGCAGGGCUGACUCUUUUUAACUUUGAGGAACUUGCGUUUCUGGUUUCUUCCUGAAUGCCACCCAGCAUCUUGUGGAACAGGGGGCCCGGCGCGUCUCCUGGUGUCGCUUUUCCUACCUCCAUGCUGUCCCCUCUCUGGCGGCCUCCUCCUCCGCGUGGCCCACGGUGUCGAAAGGGGAAGAUGCCGCCGGCCCGGAAGCCUCGUCAGCUUGCGGCUGAGCCUGGAGGGGACCCGGCCCAGCGGGGCCAUCCCGAUGUCUGGAGCCAGGAGGCGCGCUCCGUCUGUCAUAUCGACCCAGCUGAAGCUGAGCGUCCAGCCCGCUGUCCUGCCCCCUGCCCCCGGCGCCCCAGCCCCCACACGGCCACUCUCCCCCUCCUCCAAGAAAGGCAGCUGCCGUCCCACCUGCCCUCGGAGGCUUCCCGCCACCUGCGGGCCCCCCCGGGCNNNNNNNNNNNNNNNNNNNNNNNNNNNNNNGGGGGGGGGGAGCCUUCCGGGAUCCAUGAGCGUCACAGCAACACCAUUGGGGGCGACUGGCUGUGAUGCUCUUUUGUACCAAGCCGAGCGAGUGAGCCGGGAUGCCCGGCCCUGCCGCUUACAACUGUGCGGCUGGCGAGUUACCAGCCCCCCGCCCUCGCUUUUCCUCACCUCCAGGGCUGCUGUGAGAUCAGACGGUGCGUUUCUGGGGUUUAUGGCAGGUGUGUGGAGUGGGGGUGGGGCGGGCAGAUCCCGGGCGCUCACUCGCCGACCCCAGGCCUUCCCCAGUCUCCUCUAGCCCUUCGUGCCAGCUUAUGCUUCCGGGGGUGGGGCCCGCGUCCACCCAGGUGUCUGGGGAAGGACCAGCCUUGCUCUGCUGUCCCCUCAGAAUGCCCACCCCAGGACUGUCAUCCAGAAGCUCCUCCGUAAGCAGGAGCUGCCGGGUCUGCGUUUGCCCUGGUGGCCGCCCACCCUGGUCCCUGAGGCCACCUCACCUGACGACUCCAAGAUGCUGGAAGGCCACCCCCACACGGCGCCUGCAGGAGGCGCGGUGGCUCAGUCCAGCCUCCGAGGUGCUCUCAGGAUGCCGGGAUGUGGGGUGACCGAGGACCGGACCCGGGAACCUCGGCUCUCUGCAGGAUGGCGCCGCCAGCCCUGUCCUCAUCUCCUCCUGGUACCACCAGCGGGCAGGGGACCACUGUGUCCUCACUCCUGCCCACGACUCGGUGGUACUCGCUGAAGGCCGUGGCAGAGUCAGGGGUCACUCAGGGCAGAAAGGGCCCCAGCGGGGAGGGGGCCUGAAGUGGGGGGCAGACAGGCGCACCCCGAGGCUGAGUCCUGAGGACACGGAGGGUGGGGACUCGGGAGGGGCUCCGUGGGUGACGACCCGGACAGGGAAGGCCAGGAAUUGCCCAGAAGCAUGUUCUUUAGAAACAGGUGAAGAGUGACCAAAAGAGCGGGUAAGGACCCCAGGACGUGACAGUGGGCUGUCUCUUCCGUGAGCACGUGGGGAAUCCCUUGGCUUUUAAAUCACGAAUUCGCAUCACCUCAAUGCAAAGAAGACCUUAGAGCAGACUCGGUCGCCUUAACUUCUACAAUCAGAGCCAGAGGUUCUGAGACGCUGGGAUUCGGGGACGAGUUACGAGAGGUCCAUCUGGGCUGCUACGUACAGGCUGGCAGGGCCAUCCGUCAAGCCGCUGCAGCAGUGAGAGACUGAGGUCAGUGCACUGUGCUGACGGGAAAGACGGCCGCUGCCCAUCAUUCCACAGCGACGAUAACAGCCAAGCUACCUGGAGCGACCCCUCGCCUCAGCCCGGGCGCCUGGGAAGCUCGGAGGAGGCUCGGGGGGCAGGUGGUGCCCAGUGGCCCCCUCACGGUUGCGUUCCGUUCACGGACGCGCCGUUUCAUCCAGGGCUUACUUUUUAACGACACGUAUGGAUUUCUACGGUAAUCAGAGCAGAGCUCACGCCAUGAAACGUUAUAGAAAUCAAUUCGGAGGAAAGCAAUGUUACCUUUGGGUUUUAAACACAGGCCAUCACAUGAGCCAAGCGACACUCAGGACCGUGGGAGGGACCAGGAGAAGGGGGGCAUCAGCUUGGGGGGCGGGGCCCCCCGACCUCCCGGUUAAGUGCUGAUAAACACACAGCCACCCGGUUACGCUGGAACUUCAGAUGAACCUUGGACCCCUGUUGGGUAGGCGUCUGCCCCAGGAAAUAUCUGGGAGAAGCUCCCGUGAGCCACUCUUUCUAGUUUAUCCGGAAUUCCAGUGCAGCUGGGUCUCCGGUCUUUACUAACUCUGGCAGUCUGAGUGUGGGGGACCUGGGCCCCUUGAGAACGGUGGGCUUUCUCCUGACAAAAAUGCCCAGGCCCCCUUUGCAAACAGUUCCAGGGAAUUUAGGAAACGCUCUGAACAUCCAUCCACGGAUUUAGAACCAGGCUCAGAAAACUUCUACGAAGCCCGGGGGGCAAACGCCCUCAACCAGAGCAGCCUUGGACGAAAUGUGUGCACGAACAGGAGUGGCCGGGCGCCAAUAAAACUUUACGGGAAAUUCAAAUUUCAGCUCCCAUCAAUAAUUUCUGUGAAUCAAGAAAAAUAUUCU